rnacentral:tRNA from 1 species
GCCUGGGUGGCUCAGUUGGUUGAGCGUCUGAUUUCGGCUCAGGUCGUGAUCUCACAGUUAGUGGGUUCGAGCCCCGCAUCAGGCU